UACGAAGGGGGCUAGCGUUGUUCGGAAUCACUGAGCGUAAAGGGCGCGUAGGCGGCCGAUCAAGUCGGGGGUGAAAGCCUGUGGCUUAACCACAGAAUGGCCUUCGAUACUGUUUGGCUUGAGACCGGAAGAGGUUAGUGGAACUGCGAGUGUAGAGGUGAAAUUCGUAGAUAUUCGCAAGAACACCAGUGGCGAAGGCGGCUGACUGGUCCGGUUCUGACGCUGAGGCGCGAAAGCGUGGGGAGCGAACAGG
rnacentral:rRNA from 1 species